AUUUAAAUAGCUUAUAUAGAGCGUGAUAGUGAAGUUAUCAGGGUAAUAAUUAAUUAUUUUUAAAUA
rnacentral:tRNA from 1 species